AGUGAACGCUGGCGGCGUGCUUAACACAUGCAAGUCGAACGAGAACGGAAUAUAGCUUGCUAUAUUUGUCAGCUAAGUGGCGCACGGGUGAGUAAUGUAUAGAUAACCUGCCCUUAAGAAAGGAAUAACAGUUGGAAACGACUGCUAAUGCCCUAUAUGCCUUUAAUACAUAAGUAUGCAAGGGAAACGCUUUAGUGCUUAAGGAUGGGUCUGUGUGGUAUCAGCUUGUUGGUGAGGUAAUGGCUCACCAAGGCUAUGACGCCUAACUGGUUUGAGAGGAUGAUCAAUCACACUGGAACUGAGACACGGUCCAGACUCCUACGGGAGGCAGCAGUGGGGAAUAUUGCACAAUGGACGAAAGUCUGAUGCAGCAACGCCGCGUGGAGGAUGACACAUUUCGGUGCGUAAACUCCUUUUAUAUAGGAAGAUAAUGACGGUACUAUAUGAAUAAGCACCGGCUAACUCCGUGCCAGCCGCCGCAGUAACAC
rnacentral:rRNA from 1 species